AGGGAUGUAGCUCAGUGGUAGAGCACCUGCCCAGCCUGCACGAGGCCCUGGGUUCAAUCCCCAGCAUUCCAA
rnacentral:tRNA from 2 species